AUGGGCGCACAAGCCACGGCGGCCAUUGCCACUGCCAACAGUAGCAGCAGCAAAAACGCAGCAACAAGCAAGGCAGUAGAAGUUAGCAGCAGUAGCAAGCAAAGCAGCGCCAGCGGCACAAGUAGCAACAUCGGCGACAGCAACAGGCACCUGAGACGCGCACGAGAGGCAGCGGCCGAAGGGCGCGAGCGCACGGCCAGGCAGGAGCAAGCGAGCGGGAAGCACGGCGGCGCAGCCGGGAGAGGCACAGCAACAGCAACACACAGCAGCAGGAGCAGUGGCGGUCAGCAGAGCAGCAAGCCGCAGCCGUAG
rnacentral:rRNA from 1 species